CGUAAUUUAUUAAUUACGGAGACUUUAUCAGAUUAAGUGGGUAUAGUAGAUACCACUUUUGAAAUAAAAUAUUUUUGAGUUUGGCGGCCUUAGAAACUCGACGAAGUGGUUAGAAAUAUCAAGGCAAUUAAGUAGUAUUGAAUUGGUAUUAUACCGGAUGAGUGUAGAACUUUAAGUUGUCAGUUUGGCAAAUUAGUUAGAAAUUACCAAAAUAUCCCUAAGUCUUAUUUUACAGAAGUGUUUUAUUGGAGGGGCAAUUUAGUCUUUUACUAAGCUAAAAUGUUAACUUCUAUGAAUUUAUUUUAUGGCUGAUAAUUAUUUAAGUUAAAUCUUAUAUUAAAAGGAUUUAUGUUAGGAAAAUUAAGAGGAUAAAGACCAAAUUAAGAAAUAACCCAUUAAGCUCUCUCUCUCUUCUCUUUCGGCCCUAAAAGGAAACCAAGGAGAACAAAUUGUUCAUCUCAUUUCAGUCCAGAAUUUCACUAGAAAUCUACCCUAGUUGCUUUCCAAAUUAUUGAGGACCCGGAUCGUCGAGCUUUAUUUUCAUUCAAGUCGACAUACACACCUAAUUUCUGAACUGAGGUAAGAAAAGUUUUAUGCACCGCUAAGUAUGUUAGAUAAGAAACAAUUAUAAUCGUUGGUGCCUCGAUUAUGAUCGAGGUAAUGAUGUGUACUUGUUGUGCCUCGAUUAUGAUCGAGGAUAGAAACAGUCAUUAUUGGUAUGAGUAAUUACUUGUUUGAAACUGCAGAUAGGUUUCUUACUUAUCGUUCGCUUUAGUGAGCAACGAUAGUGACAUAUGUAGCUCGUGGAUAACGAAUGGUAAGGGUGCUUUAUGAAGCACUGGGAUCGUCUCGUCUUGUAGACGUUUAAUUGAUUAUGCAUUGUUGAAUAUAUGUUGAAUGAUGAGUAUGUAUCUUAUAUCAAGAUGUGAUUACUUGUAUUUUACAUUGUGUGUGAUUUAAUAGCUUUUCUUGCUGAGUCUCUAUGACUCACGGGUGCUUUGUGGUGCAGGUAAAGGGAAGGGUAAAGCAGAGCAACCAUGAGUUAGAGGUUUUCUAGCAGUGUACAUAUCAAUCGCAGUGUCUCGGCUACUAGUGGACAAGAUCCACCCUUUUGAUUGUAUUUUAAAAGUGUAAUCCGAUGUUGUAAUACCACUUUUGAAAUAGUAUGUAAAAGUUUUUAUAAAAA